AGCGUACACGGUGGAUGCCCUGGCAGUCAGAGGCGAUGAAGGACGUGCUAAUCUGCGAUAAGCGUCGGUAAGGUGAUAUGAACCGUUAUAACCGGCGAUUUCCGAAUGGGGAAACCCAGUGUGUUUCGACACACUAUCAUUAACUGAAUCCAUAGGUUAAUGAGGCGAACCGGGGGAACUGAAACAUCUAAGUACCCCGAGGAAAAGAAAUCAACCGAGAUUCCCCCAGUAGCGGCGAGCGAACGGGGAGCAGCCCAGAGCCUGAAUCAGUGUGUGUGUUAGUGGAAGCGUCUGGAAAGGCGCGCGAUACAGGGUGACAGCCCCGUACACAAAAAUGCACAUGCUGUGAGCUCGAUGAGUAGGGCGGGACACGUGGUAUCCUGUCUGAAUAUGGGGGGACCAUCCUCCAAGGCUAAAUACUCCUGACUGACCGAUAGUGAACCAGUACCGUGAGGGAAAGGCGAAAAGAACCCCGGCGAGGGGAGUGAAAAAGAACCUGAAACCGUGUACGUACAAGCAGUGGGAGCACGCUUAGGCGUGUGACUGCGUACCUUUUGUAUAAUGGGUCAGCGACUUAUAUUCUGUAGCAAGGUUAACCGAAUAGGGGAGCCGAAGGGAAACCGAGUCUUAACUGGGCGUUAAGUUGCAGGGUAUAGACCCGAAACCCGGUGAUCUAGCCAUGGGCAGGUUGAAGGUUGGGUAACACUAACUGGAGGACCGAACCGACUAAUGUUGAAAAAUUAGCGGAUGACUUGUGGCUGGGGGUGAAAGGCCAAUCAAACCGGGAGAUAGCUGGUUCUCCCCGAAAGCUAUUUAGGUAGCGCCUCGUGAAUUCAUCUCCGGGGGUAGAGCACUGUUUCGGCAAGGGGGUCAUCCCGACUUACCAACCCGAUGCAAACUGCGAAUACCGGAGAAUGUUAUCACGGGAGACACACGGCGGGUGCUAACGUCCGUCGUGAAGAGGGAAACAACCCAGACCGCCAGCUAAGGUCCCAAAGUCAUGGUUAAGUGGGAAACGAUGUGGGAAGGCCCAGACAGCCAGGAUGUUGGCUUAGAAGCAGCCAUCAUUUAAAGAAAGCGUAAUAGCUCACUGGUCGAGUCGGCCUGCGCGGAAGAUGUAACGGGGCUAAACCAUGCACCGAAGCUGCGGCAGCGACACUAUGUGUUGUUGGGUAGGGGAGCGUUCUGUAAGCCUGUGAAGGUGUACUGUGAGGUAUGCUGGAGGUAUCAGAAGUGCGAAUGCUGACAUAAGUAACGAUAAAGCGGGUGAAAAGCCCGCUCGCCGGAAGACCAAGGGUUCCUGUCCAACGUUAAUCGGGGCAGGGUGAGUCGACCCCUAAGGCGAGGCCGAAAGGCGUAGUCGAUGGGAAACAGGUUAAUAUUCCUGUACUUGGUGUUACUGCGAAGGGGGGACGGAGAAGGCUAUGUUGGCCGGGCGACGGUUGUCCCGGUUUAAGCGUGUAGGCUGGUUUUCCAGGCAAAUCCGGAAAAUCAAGGCUGAGGCGUGAUGACGAGGCACUACGGUGCUGAAGCAACAAAUGCCCUGCUUCCAGGAAAAGCCUCUAAGCAUCAGGUAACAUCAAAUCGUACCCCAAACCGACACAGGUGGUCAGGUAGAGAAUACCAAGGCGCUUGAGAGAACUCGGGUGAAGGAACUAGGCAAAAUGGUGCCGUAACUUCGGGAGAAGGCACGCUGAUAUGUAGGUGAAGUCCCUCGCGGAUGGAGCUGAAAUCAGUCGAAGAUACCAGCUGGCUGCAACUGUUUAUUAAAAACACAGCACUGUGCAAACACGAAAGUGGACGUAUACGGUGUGACGCCUGCCCGGUGCCGGAAGGUUAAUUGAUGGGGUCAGCGCAAGCGAAGCUCUUGAUCGAAGCCCCGGUAAACGGCGGCCGUAACUAUAACGGUCCUAAGGUAGCGAAAUUCCUUGUCGGGUAAGUUCCGACCUGCACGAAUGGCGUAAUGAUGGCCAGGCUGUCUCCACCCGAGACUCAGUGAAAUUGAACUCGCUGUGAAGAUGCAGUGUACCCGCGGCAAGACGGAAAGACCCCGUGAACCUUUACUAUAGCUUGACACUGAACAUUGAGCCUUGAUGUGUAGGAUAGGUGGGAGGCUUUGAAGUGUGGACGCCAGUCUGCAUGGAGCCGACCUUGAAAUACCACCCUUUAAUGUUUGAUGUUCUAACGUUGACCCGUAAUCCGGGUUGCGGACAGUGUCUGGUGGGUAGUUUGACUGGGGCGGUCUCCUCCUAAAGAGUAACGGAGGAGCACGAAGGUUGGCUAAUCCUGGUCGGACAUCAGGAGGUUAGUGCAAUGGCAUAAGCCAGCUUGACUGCGAGCGUGACGGCGCGAGCAGGUGCGAAAGCAGGUCAUAGUGAUCCGGUGGUUCUGAAUGGAAGGGCCAUCGCUCAACGGAUAAAAGGUACUCCGGGGAUAACAGGCUGAUACCGCCCAAGAGUUCAUAUCGACGGCGGUGUUUGGCACCUCGAUGUCGGCUCAUCACAUCCUGGGGCUGAAGUAGGUCCCAAGGGUAUGGCUGUUCGCCAUUUAAAGUGGUACGCGAGCUGGGUUUAGAACGUCGUGAGACAGUUCGGUCCCUAUCUGCCGUGGGCGCUGGAGAACUGAGGGGGGCUGCUCCUAGUACGAGAGGACCGGAGUGGACGCAUCACUGGUGUUCGGGUUGUCAUGCCAAUGGCACUGCCCGGUAGCUAAAUGCGGAAGAGAUAAGUGCUGAAAGCAUCUAAGCACGAAACUUGCCCCGAGAUGAGUUCUCCCUGACUCCUUGA
rnacentral:rRNA from 1 species